rnacentral:rRNA from 1 species
CCUACGGGAGGCAGCAGUCGGGAAUAUUGCGCAAUGGAGGAAACUCUGACGCAGUGACGCCGCGUGCAGGAAGCAGGUUUUCGGAUUGUAAACUGCUUUCGACAGGGAAGAAAAAAGACAGUACCUGUAGAAUAAGCUCCGGCUAACUACGUGCCAGCAGCCGCGGGAAUAGGUAGGGAGCAAGCGUUAUCCGGAUUUAUUGGGUGGAAAGGGGGGGUAGACGGAGAAGCAAGUUAGUUGUGAACGCCCUGGGCUUAACUGAGGAACUGCAACUAAAACUACUUCCCUUGAGUACUGGAGAGGAAAGUGGAAUUCCUGGUGUAGCGGUGAAAUGCGUAGAUAUUAGGAGGAACACCAGUGGCGAAGGCGACUUUCUGGACAGUAACUGACGUUGAGGCACGAAAGUGUGGGGAGCAAACAGGAUUAGAUACCCUAGUAGUC